rnacentral:rRNA from 1 species
GACGAACGCUGGCGGCGUGCUUAACACAUGCAAGUCGAACGGUAAGGCCCUUCGGGGUACACGAGUGGCGAACGGGUGAGUAACACGUGGGUGAUCUGCCCUGCACUUCGGGAUAAGCCUGGGAAACUGGGUCUAAUACCGGAUAGGACCACUGCCUGCAUGGGUGGUGGUGGAAAGCUUUUGCGGUGUGGGAUGGGCCCGCGGCCUAUCAGCUUGCUGGUGGGGGGAUGGCCUACCAAGGCGACAACGGGUAGCGGGCCUGAGAGGGUGACCGGCCACACUGGGACUGAGAUACGGCCCAGACUCCUACGGGAGGCAGCAGUGGGGAAUAUUGCACAAUGGGCGCAAGCCUGAUGCAGCGACGCCGCGUGAGGGAUGACGGCCUUCGGGUUGUAAACCUCUUUCAGCACCGACGAAGCGCAAGUGACGGUAGGUGCAGAAGAAGGACCGGCCAACUACGUGCCAGCCGCCGCAGUAA